UCUACGGGUGGCAGCAGUGGGGAAUAUUGCGCAAUGGGCGAAAGCCUGACGCAGCGACGCCGCGUGAGGGAUGAAGGUCUUCGGAUCGUAAACCUCUGUCAGCAGGGAAGAACGGUCACUGUGCUAAUCAGCAGUGAAUUGACGGUACCUGCAAAGGAAGCACAGGCUAACCCCGUGCCAGCAGCCGUGGUAAUACGGAGGGUGCGAGCGUUAAUCGGAAGUACUGGGCGGAAAGCGAUCGUAGGCGGUAUGUCAAGUCAAGGGUGAAAUCCCCGCGCUCAACGUGGGAACUGCCUUUGAAAGUGGCAAACUGGAGUUGGUGAGAGGAUAGUGGAAUUCGAGGUGUAGGAGUGAAAUCCGUAGAUAUCUGGAGGAACAUCAGUGGCGAAGGCGACUAUCUGGCACAUAACUGACGCUGAGGAGCGAAAGCGUGGGUAGCAAACAGGAUUAGAUACCCGUGUAGUC
rnacentral:rRNA from 1 species